GGAAAAAUGGCUGAGUGGCUUAAAGCACCGACUUGCUAAGUCGGCGUAUGAUAAUAUCAUACCAUGGGUUCGAAUCCCUUUUUUUCCG
rnacentral:tRNA from 1 species